UACCUGCAGCUCGAGUGGUAACCGCUAUUGUUGGGCCUAAAGCGUCCGUAGCCGGUUUGGUAAAUAUCUGGGUAAAUCGUGAGGCUUAACUUCACGAAUUUCGGAUAGACUGCCAGACUUGGGAUCGGGGGAGGUCAGAGGUACUCCAGGGGUAGCGGUGAAAUGUUGUAAUCCUUGGAGGACCACCGGUAGCGAAGGCGUCUGACUAGAACGAGUCCGACGGUGAGGGACGAAGCCCUGGGGCGCAAACCGGAUUAGAUACCCGGGUAGUCCAGGGUGUAAACGAUGUGGGCUUUGUAUAGGAGGUCCCACGUGGGCGUCCAGUGCAGAAGAGAAGUUGUUAAGCCCACCGCCUGGGAAGUACGGUCGCAAGGCUGAAACUUAAAGGAAUUGGCGGGGGAGCACAGCAACGGGAGGAGCGUGCGGUUU
rnacentral:rRNA from 1 species